rnacentral:rRNA from 1 species
AUUGAACGCUGGCGGAAUGCUUUACACAUGCAAGUCGAACGAUGAACCUUAGCUUGCUAAGGGGAUUAGUGGCGAACGGGUGAGUAAUGUAUCGGAACGUAUCCAAUAAUGGGGGAUAACUAGUCGAAAGAUUAGCUAAUACCGCAUACGUCCUACGGGAGAAAGCUAGGGACCUUCGGGCCUGGCGUUAAUGGAGCGGCCGAUAUCUGAUUAGCUAGUUGGUGGGGUAGAGGCUCACCAAGGCGACGAUCAGUAGCUGGUCUGAGAGGACGACCAGCCGAGCUGGAACUGAGACACGGGCCAGACCCCUACGGGAGGCAGCAGUGGGGAAUUUUGGACAAUGGGCGAAAGCCUGAUCCAGCCAUUCCGCGUGAGUGAAGAAGGCCUUCGGGUUGUAAAGCUCUUUCGCAAGGGAAGAAAACUUAAGCUCUAACAUAGCUUGAGGUUGACGGUACCUUGAUAAGAAGCACCGGCUAACUACGUGCCAGCCGCCGCCGUAA